rnacentral:rRNA from 1 species
AUUGAACGCUGGCGGCAGGCCUAACACAUGCAAGUCGAACGAGUGGCGGACGGGUGAGUAAUGUCUGGGAAACUGCCCGAUGGAGGGGGAUAACUACUGGAAACGGUAGCUAAUACCGCAUACCAUCGGAUGUGCCCAGAUGGGAUUAGCUAGUAGGUGGGGUAAAGGCUCACCUAGGCGACGAUCCCUAGCUGUGCUGAGAGGAUGACCAGCCACACUGGAACUGAGACACGGUCCAGACUCCUACGGGAGGCAGCAGUGGGGAAUAUUGCACAAUGGGCGCAAGCCUGAUGCAGCCAUGCCGCGUGUAUGAAGAAGGCCUUCGGGUUGUAAAGUACUUUCAGCGGGGAGGCGUUACCCGAAGAAGAAGCACCGGCUAACUCCGUGCCAGCAGCCGCGGUAAUUC